rnacentral:rRNA from 1 species
CGCGUAGGUGGUUCAGUAAGUUGAGUGAAAUCCCCGGGCUCAACCUGGGAACUGCUUUCAAAACCUAGCUGAGCUAGAGUACGGUAGAGGGUGGUGGAAUUUCCUGUGUAGCGGUGAAAUGUGUAGAUAUAGGAAGGAACACCAGUGGCGAAGGCGACCACCUGGACUGAUACUGACACUGAGGUGCGAAAGCGUGGGGAGCAAACA